rnacentral:rRNA from 1 species
UUUAAUUGAAGAGUUUGAUCAUGGCUCAGAUUGAACGCUGGCGGCAGGCCUAACACAUGCAAGUCGAGCGGCAGCGACAUAAACAAACCUUCGGGGGCGCUUAUGGGCGG